AGGCACAGAUGAGUAACGUGAAUUUGUCCGUCUCCGACUUCUGGAGAGUGAUGAUGCGGGUGUGCUGGUUGGUGAGACAGGACAGCCGGCACCAGCGAAUCAGACUUCCACAUUUGGAAGCAGUUGUGAUUGGGCGUGGCCCAGAGACCAAGAUCACUGAUAAGAAAUGUUCUCGACAGCAAGUUGAAAGCAGAGUGUAACAAGGGAUAUGUCAAGGUAAAGCAGGUAGGAGUCAAUCCCACCAGCAUUGACUCAGUCGUAAUUGGGAAGGACCAAGAGGUGAAGCUGCAGCCUG
rnacentral:lncRNA from 1 species